UAUCUGCAUGCUAAAUCUGAAACAAUCUUUGUGCUUGACCCUCAAUGUGUUGCCAUGGAAACUGAGGAAGCUUCACAUGCAUGUCGCAGAUUUGGUGAAUACUUCAAAAUGAGAAAGGAACAAAAUGCAAGAGAGGAUUGGAUCAACAUAAAAUGGAAGGCUGGCACAAUACCUAACACACUUUAGGAAUAUAGUGUGAGCUGUGGUGAUUGUGAUGCAGAUGGCAAAAGAGGUGGUGGAGAACUUCCCUAACAUCCCUAAGAGCAUCACUAUCGAUCCCUCAGAGGAGUGGAUGUACAACUGUAGAUGGCAGGUGGCAAAAGAUAUUUUGCUGGCAUCAG